rnacentral:rRNA from 1 species
GGGUUGUGAGGUUAAGCGACUAAGCGUACACGGUGGAUGCCCUGGCAGUCAGAGGCGAUGAAGGACGUGCUAAUCUGCGAAAAGCGUCGGUAAGGUGAUAUGAACCGUUAUAACCGGCGAUGUCCGAAUGGGGAAACCCAGUGCAAUUCGUUGCACUAUCGUUAACUGAAUACAUAGGUUAACGAGGCGAACCGGGGGAACUGAAACAUCUAAGUACCCCGAGGAAAAGAAAUCAACCGAGAUUCCCCCAGUAGCGGCGAGCGAACGGGGAGCAGCCCAGAGUCUGAAUCAGCUUGUGUGUUAGUGGAACGGUCUGGAAAGUCCGACGGUACAGGGUGAUAGUCCCGUACACCAAAAUGCACAGGCUGUGAACUCGAAGAGUAGGGCGGGACACGUGGUAUCCUGUCUGAAUAUGGGGGGACCAUCCUCCAAGGCUAAAUACUCCUGACUGACCGAUAGUGAACCAGUACCGUGAGGGAAAGGCGAAAAGAACCCCGGCGAGGGGAGUGAAAAAGAACCUGAAACCGUGUACGUACAAGCAGUGGGAGCACCUUCGGGUGUGACUGCGUACCUUUUGUAUAAUGGGUCAGCGACUUAUAUUCUGUAGCAAGGUUAACCGUAUAGGGGAGCCGCAGGGAAACCGAGUCUUAACUGGGCGUUAAGUUGCAGGGUAUAGACCCGAAACCCGGUGAUCUAGCCAUGGGCAGGUUGAAGGUUGGGUAACACUAACUGGAGGACCGAACCGACUAAUGUUGAAAAAUUAGCGGAUGACUUGUGGCUGGGGGUGAAAGGCCAAUCAAACCGGGAGAUAGCUGGUUCUCCCCGAAAGCUAUUUAGGUAGCGCCUCGUGAACUCAUCUUCGGGGGUAGAGCACUGUUUCGGCUAGGGGGUCAUCCCGACUUACCAACCCGAUGCAAACUACGAAUACCGAAGAAUGUUAUCACGGGAGACACACGGCGGGUGCUAACGUCCGUCGUGAAGAGGGAAACAACCCAGACCGCCAGCUAAGGUCCCAAAGUCAUGGUUAAGUGGGAAACGAUGUGGGAAGGCACAGACAGCCAGGAUGUUGGCUUAGAAGCAGCCAUCAUUUAAAGAAAGCGUAAUAGCUCACUGGUCGAGUCGGCCUGCGCGGAAGAUGUAACGGGGCUAAACCAUGCACCGAAGCUGCGGCAGCGACACUAUGUGUUGUUGGGUAGGGGAGCGUUCUGUAAGCCUGCGAAGGUGACCUGUGAGGGUUGCUGGAGGUAUCAGAAGUGCGAAUGCUGACAUAAGUAACGAUAAAGCGGGUGAAAAGCCCGCUCGCCGGAAGACCAAGGGUUCCUGUCCAACGUUAAUCGGGGCAGGGUGAGUCGACCCCUAAGGCGAGGCCGAAAGGCGUAGUCGAUGGGAAACAGGUUAAUAUUCCUGUACUUGGUGUUACUGCGAAGGGGGGACGGAGAAGGCUAUGUUAGCCGGGCGACGGUUGUCCCGGUUUAAGCAUGUAGGCUGGUUAUCCAGGCAAAUCCGGAUAAUCAAGGCUGAGGUGUGAUGACGAGGCACUACGGUGCUGAAGUAACAAAUGCCCUGCUUCCAGGAAAAGCCUCUAAGCAUCAGGUAACAUUAAAUCGUACCCCAAACCGACACAGGUGGUCAGGUAGAGAAUACCAAGGCGCUUGAGAGAACUCGGGUGAAGGAACUAGGCAAAAUGGUGCCGUAACUUCGGGAGAAGGCACGCUGGUGUGUAGGUGAAGCCCCUGCGGGUGGAGCUGAGACCAGUCGAAGAUACCAGCUGGCUGCAACUGUUUAUUAAAAACACAGCACUGUGCAAACACGAAAGUGGACGUAUACGGUGUGACGCCUGCCCGGUGCCGGAAGGUUAAUUGAUGGGGUUAUCCGUAAGGAGAAGCUCUUGAUCGAAGCCCCGGUAAACGGCGGCCGUAACUAUAACGGUCCUAAGGUAGCGAAAUUCCUUGUCGGGUAAGUUCCGACCUGCACGAAUGGCGUAAUGAUGGCCAGGCUGUCUCCACCCGAGACUCAGUGAAAUUGAACUCGCUGUGAAGAUGCAGUGUACCCGCGGCAAGACGGAAAGACCCCGUGAACCUUUACUAUAGCUUGACACUGAACAUUGAGCCUUGAUGUGUAGGAUAGGUGGGAGGCUUUGAAGCGUGGACGCCAGUCUGCGUGGAGCCAACCUUGAAAUACCACCCUUUAAUGUUUGAUGUUCUAACGUUGGCCCCUUACCGGGGUUGCGGACAGUGUCUGGUGGGUAGUUUGACUGGGGCGGUCUCCUCCCAAAGCGUAACGGAGGAGCACGAAGGUUAGCUAAUCCUGGUCGGACAUCAGGAGGUUAGUGCAAUGGCAUAAGCUAGCUUGACUGCGAGCGUGACGGCGCGAGCAGGUGCGAAAGCAGGUCAUAGUGAUCCGGUGGUUCUGAAUGGAAGGGCCAUCGCUCAACGGAUAAAAGGUACUCCGGGGAUAACAGGCUGAUACCGCCCAAGAGUUCAUAUCGACGGCGGUGUUUGGCACCUCGAUGUCGGCUCAUCACAUCCUGGGGCUGAAGUAGGUCCCAAGGGUAUGGCUGUUCGCCAUUUAAAGUGGUACGCGAGCUGGGUUUAGAACGUCGUGAGACAGUUCGGUCCCUAUCUGCCGUGGGCGCUGGAGAAUUGAGGGGGGCUGCUCCUAGUACGAGAGGACCGGAGUGGACGCAUCACUGGUGUUCGGGUUGUCAUGCCAAUGGCACUGCCCGGUAGCUAAAUGCGGAAGAGAUAAGUGCUGAAAGCAUCUAAGCACGAAACUUGCCCCGAGAUGAGUUCUCCCUGAGACUUUAAGUCUCCUGAAGGAACGUUAAAGACGAUGACGUUGAUAGGCCGGGUGUGUAAGCGCAGCGAUGCGUUGAGCUAACCGGUACUAAUGAACCGUGAGGCUUAACCUUACAACGCCGAAG